rnacentral:rRNA from 1 species
AUUGAACGCUGGCGGCAUGCCUUACACAUGCAAGUCGAACGGCAGCACGGGUGCUUGCACCUGGUGGCGAGUGGCGAACGGGUGAGUAAUACAUCGGAACAUGUCCUGUAGUGGGGGAUAGCCCGGCGAAAGCCGGAUUAAUACCGCAUACGAUCUACGGAUGAAAGCGGGGGACCUUCGGUCCUCGCGCUAUAGGGUUGGCCGAUGGCUGAUUAGCUAGUUGGUGGGGUAAAGGCCUACCAAGGCGACGAUCAGUAGCUGGUCUGAGAGGACGACCAGCCACACUGGGACUGGGACACGGCCCAGACUCCUACGGGAGGCAGCAGUGGGGAAUUUUGGACAAUGGGCGAAAGCCUGAUCCAGCAAUGCCGCGUGUGUGAAGAAGGCCUUCGGGUUGUAAAGCACUUUUGUCCGGAAAGAAAUCCUUGGCCCUAAUACGGUCGGGGGAUGACGGUACCGGAAGAAUAAGCACCGGCUAACUACGUG